rnacentral:rRNA from 1 species
UCCCAGACUCCUACGGGAGGCAGCAGUGAGGAAUAUUGGUCAAUGGGCGGGAGCCUGAACCAGCCAAGUCGCGUGAGGGAUGACGGCCCUAUGGGUUGUAAACCUCUUUUGCCGGGGAGCAAAGUGCCGCACGUGUGCGGUUUGGAGAGUACCCGGAGAAAAAGCAUCGGCUAACUCCGUGCCAGCAGCCGCGGUAAUACGGAGGAUGCGAGCGUUAUCCGGAUUUACUGGGUGUAAAGGGAGCGUAGACGGUUAUGUAAGUCUGGAGUGAAAGCCCGGGGCCCAACCCCGGGACUGCUUUGGAAACUGUGUAACUAGAGUACAGGAGGGGCAGGCGGAAUUCCUGGUGUAGCGGUGAAAUGCGUAGAUAUCAGGAGGAACACCGGCGGCGAAGGCGGCCUGCUGGACUGAAACUGACGUUGAGGCUCGAAAGCGUGGGGAGCAAACAGGAUUAGAUACCCGCGUACGA